rnacentral:rRNA from 1 species
GCUGACGAGUGGCGGACGGGUGAGUAAUGUCUGGGAAACUGCCUGAUGGAGGGGGAUAACUACUGGAAACGGUAGCUAAUACCGCAUAAUGUCGCAAGACCAAAGAGGGGGACCUUCGGGCCUCUUGCCAUCGGAUGUGCCCAGAUGGGAUUAGCUUGUUGGUGGGGUAACGGCUCACCAAGGCGACGAUCCCUAGCUGGUCUGAGAGGAUGACCAGCCACACUGGAACUGAGACACGGUCCAGACUCCUACGGGAGGCAGCAGUGGGGAAUAUUGCACAAUGGGCGCAAGCCUGAUGCAGCCAUGCCGCGUGUAUGAAGAAGGCCUUCGGGUUGUAAAGUACUUUCAGCGGGGAGGAAGGGAGUAAAGUUAAUACCUU